rnacentral:rRNA from 1 species
UGAAUUGACGGGACCGCACAAGCGGUGGAUGAUGUGGUUUAAUUCGAUGCAACGCGAAAACCUUACCUACCCUUGACGUGUCCGGAAUCCCGAAGAGAUUUGGGAGUGCUCGCAAGAGAGCCGGAACACAGGUGCUGCAUGGCUGUCGUCAGCUCGUGUCGUGAGAUGUUGGGUUAAGUCCCGCAACGAGCGCAACCCUUGUCAUUAGUUGCCAUCAUUUGGUUGGGCACUCUAAUGAGACUGCCGGUGACAAACCGGAGGAAGGUGGGGAUGACGUCAAGUCCUCAUGGCCCUUAUGGGUAGGGCUUCACACGUCAUACAAUGGUCGGUACAGAGGGUUGCCAACCCGCGAGGGGGAGCUAAUCCCACAAAGCCGAUCGUAGUCCGGAUCGCAGUCUGCAACUCGACUGCGUGAAGUCGGAAUCGCUAGUAAUCGUGGAUCAGCAUGUCACGGUGAAUACGUUCCCGGGUCUU